rnacentral:rRNA from 1 species
GUCCACACUGUAAACGAUGAUAACUAGGUGUCGGCCGAAUCUGGUCGGUGCCACAGCGAAAGCGUUAAGUUAUCCACCUGGGGAGUACGCCGGCAACGGUGAAACUCAAAGGAAUUGACGGGGUCCGCACAAGCGGUGGAGCAUGUGGUUUAAUUCGAUGCAACGCGAAGAACCUUACCUACCCUUGACAUACAACAGAGAUUUUCAGAGAUGAGAUUGUGCCUUCGGGAAUGUUGAUACAGGUGCUGCAUGGCUGUCGU